rnacentral:rRNA from 1 species
UAAAGCUACUAAGGGCGUACGGAGGAUGCCUAGGUACAUGGAGGCGAUGAAAGACGUGGUAAGCUGCGAAAAGCCUCGGGGAGGUGCAAACAACUUUAGAUCCGGGGAUUUCUGAAUGGGGCAACCCGGUACCGGUCAUACGGUACCACUCCUGCCUGAAUAAAUAGGGCAGGUAGAGCAAACGGGGUGAACUGAUACAUCUAACUAACCCCAGGAAGAGAAAAUACAAAUGAUUUCCUCAGUAGCGGCGAGCGAACGGGAAAAAGUCUAAACCAUUAGCGUGUCAAAUCUGUAAGUUUUGCGUUAGUGGUGUAGUGGGGUCAUUCUGGAGCGGGUUACAGACCGCUCGACAAGUUAUAAAAUCCAAUGUUAAUCGAAUGACAUGGAAAGGUCAGCCAUAGCAGGUGAUAGCCCUGUAGGUGAAAAUUGAAGAUCUUGUUGGGAAUGAUUCCCGAGUAGCGCGGGACACGAGAAAUCCUGUGUGAAUCCGCCGGGACCAUCCGGUAAGACUAAAUACUCCCAUGUAACCGAUAGUGAACUAGUACCGUGAGGGAAAGGUGAAAAGUACUCCUAGCGGAGAGUGAAAUAGAACCUGAAACCGUAUGCUUACAAGCGGUCGGAGUUCGCCAUAUGGCGGAUGACGGCGUGCCUUUUGCAUAAUGAGCCAGCGAGUUGCUCGUAUGUUGCAAGGUUAAUCUCGAUACAACGAGAGGAGCCGUAGGGAAACCGAGUCUGAAUAGGGCGUUGAGUAGCAUGUGGCAGACCCGAAACCGAGUGAUCUACCCAUGACCAGGUUGAAGUUCCGGUAACACGGAAUGGAGGACCGAACCCACCAAUGUUGAAAAAUUGGGGGAUGAGCUGUGGCUAGGGGUGAAAGGCCAAUCAAACUCGGAGAUAUCUGGUUCUCGCCGAAAUGUCUUUAGGGACAGCGUCAUGAUAGUGUACCGGGGGUAGAGCACUGGAUGGGCUAGGGAGCCUACAAGCUUACCGACCCCAACCAAACUCCGAAUACCGGAUACAUGUUCCAUGGCAGUGAGACUGCGGGGGAUAAGCUUCGUAGUCGAGAGGGAAACAGCCCAGACCAACAGCUAAGGUCCCAAAAUCUAUGCUAAGUGAUAAAGGAUGUCAAAUCGCCCAGACAGCUAGGAGGUUGGCUUAGAAGCAGCCAUCCUUUAAAGAAAGCGUAAUAGCUCACUAGUCAAGGGGUUUUGCGCCGAUAAUUCCCGGGACUGUUAAGCAUAGUACCGAAGCUUUGGACUUCCGACAUUUGUCGGAAUUGGUAGGCGAGCGUUCCAUUAACCUGUGAAGGUUGAUCCGUGAGGACAGCUGGAGGAGAUGGAAAUGAGUAUGCUGGCAUGAGUAGCGAUAAACACGGUGAAAUUCCGUGUCGCCGAAAGCCCAAGGGUUCCUGAGUAAAGUAACUCUUCUCAGGGUUAGUCGGAUCCUAAGCCGAGGCCGAAAGGCGUAGGCGAUGGAAAACGGGUUUAAUAUUCCCGUACCAGUUUUUGAUUGUUUGAGCUAUGGGGUGACGCAGGAGUGAAAGGUCAGCCCGGUUUUGAUUGUCCGGGUUUAAGUGUGUAGGAGGUCCUGGUAGGUAAAUCCGCCGGGAUAUUAAACUCUGAGACACGAAUAGGAGUCCUUAGGACAUAAACUGACCAUAACCAUACUGCCGAGAAAAACCUCUAUGUGAAAUCAAAAACUGACCGUACCCUAAACGGACACACGUGGGCGGGGUGAGAAUCCUAAGGCGCGUGAGAGAAUCCAGGUAAAGGAACUCGGCAAAUUAGCCCCGUAACUUCGGAAGAAGGGGUGCCCCCGGUAGGUUAAAUUCUUCGCGAAUGGAGCUGAAAGGGGUCGCAGUGACCAGGCCCGAUCGACUGUUUAUCAAAAACACAGGUCUCUGCUAAGUCGUAAGACGAAAUAUAGGGACUGACACCUGCCCGGUGCCGGAAGGUUAAAUGGAAGGGUUAGCUUCGGCGAAGCUCCGAUAUGAAGCCCCGGUAAACGGCGGCCGUAACUAUAACGGUCCUAAGGUAGCGAAAUUCCUUGUCGGGUAAGUUCCGACCUGCACGAAUGGUGUAACGAAUUGGGCACUGUCUCUACCUGGAGCUCAGUGAAAUUGAAGUGUCGGUGAAGAUGCC